UUAAUUGGGGGACUCUAGCGAGACUGCCAGUGAUAAACUGGAGGAAGAUGGGGAUGACGUCAAAUCAUCAUGCCCCUUAUGACCUGGGCUACAAACGUGAUACAAUGGCUGAAACAAAGGGCAGCGAAGGAGCGAUCUGGAGCGAAACCCAAAAAAGCAGUCUCAGUUCGGAUUGAAGUCUGCAACUCGACUUCAUGAAGUCGGAAUCGCUAGUAAUCGCGGAUCAGAACGCCGCGGUGAAUACGUUCUCGGGGUUU
rnacentral:rRNA from 1 species